CACUUUACGACGCGUAUAUUGGCAAAUAUACAACGAUCCGACCCGUGCGCUACAAUUUUGACCCAAAUUCACGACCAAUAUACUACGAUUACGUCCAAAUAUACUACGAUCGCACUCAAAUAUACCUACGAAAGUGUAAAAGACGAUAAAUAUAUUGAACGAUAUGGGUCAAAUAUACCCAAAAAUUCAAUUACGAUUUC
rfam:Peridroma alphabaculovirus isolate GR_167, complete genome.